rnacentral:rRNA from 1 species
ACUGCGUGAAGUCGGAAUCGCUAGUAAUCGCGGAUCAGCAUGCCGCGGUGAAUACGUUCCCGGGCCUUGUACACACCGCCCGUCACACCAUGAGAGUCGGGAACACCCGAAGCCCGUAGCCUAACAGCAAUGAGGGCGCGGUCGAAGGUGGGUUCGAUAAUUGGGGUGAAGUCGUAACAAGGUACC